rnacentral:lncRNA from 1 species
CCCGGCUCACGGCACCUCUAACUCGAUCAGAGGAUAGAGAGCUAGUGCACAUUCAGAACCGCACGUAAGUAUUAGAUUUUCGACCAAUAUUUUUAAAAAUUUUUAUCAUUUUAGAAUCAAUAUUUAUUAUUAAAAUUUAAUUUUACAAAAUAUUUAGGGAGCUUGAGGUGUCUAAAGUUGUUACCUGGAUCGUACGAUGAUUGAUGCCGGGGCUAGUGAACGAGUUCUCCAGUUAGCUGUCAGGGACUCAUGACGUUGU